rnacentral:rRNA from 1 species
UAGUCAUAUGCUUGUCUCAAAGAUUAAGCCAUGCAUGUCUAAGUAUAAAUAGUAUACAGUGAAACUGCGAAUGGCUCAUUAAAACAGUUAUAGUUUAUUUGAUAAUGGAAAAUUACAUGGAUAACCGUGGUAAUUCUAGAGCUAAUACAUGCUGUAAAGCCUGACUUCACGGAAGGGCUGUAUUUAUUAGAUACUAAACCAAUGUCGAAAGACAUUGUGGUGAAUCACAGUAACUGAUCGAAUCGGCGCGCAAGCGGCGAUAAAUCAUUCAAGUCUCUGCCCUAUCAGCUUUCGAUGGUAGUGUAUUGGACUACCAUGGCAGUCACGGGUAACGGAGAAUUAGGGUUCGGUUCCGGAGAGGGAGCCUGAGAAACGGCUACCACAUCUAAGGAAGGCAGCAGGCGCGUAAAUUACCCAAUCCUGACUCAGGGAGGUAGUGACAAGAAAUAACAACCUGGGAGCUUUUAGCUCUACGGGAUUGCAAUGAGGACAAUUUAGAUCACUUAGCGAGGAACAAUU